rnacentral:rRNA from 1 species
GUGGGGAAUAUUGCACAAUGGGCGCAAGCCUGAUGCAGCCAUGCCGCGUGUGUGAAGAAGGCCUUCGGGUUGUAAAGCACUUUCAGCGGGGAGGAAGGCGAUAAGGUUAAUAACCUUGUCGAUUGACGUUACCCGCAGAAGAAGCACCGGCUAACUCCGUGCCAGCAGCCGCGGUAAUACGGAGGGUGCAAGCGUUAAUCGGAAUUACUGGGCGUAAAGCGCACGCAGGCGGUCUGUCAAGUCGGAUGUGAAAUCCCCGGGCUCAACCUGGGAACUGCAUUCGAAACUGGCAGGCUAGAGUCUUAGAGGGGGGUAGAAUUCCAGGUGUAGCGGUGAAAUGCGUAGAGAUCUGGAGGAAUACCGGUGGCGAAGGCGGCCCCCUGGACAAAGACUGACGCUCAGGUGCGAAAGCGUGGGGAGCAAACAGGAUUAGAAACCCCUGUUAGUCC